UACGGAGGGGGCUAGCGUUGUUCGGAAUUACUGGGCGUAAAGCGCGCGUAGGCGGCUUUGCAAGUCAGAGGUGAAAGCCUGGAGCUCAACUCCAGAACUGCCUUUGAAACUGCAUCGCUAGAAUCAUGGAGAGGUUAGUGGAAUUCCGAGUGUAGAGGUGAAAUUCGUAGAUAUUAGGAAGAACACCAGUGGCGAAGGCGGCUCACUGGCCCGGUACUGACGCUGAGGCGCGAAAGCGUGGGGAGCAAACAGG
rnacentral:rRNA from 1 species